UACGUAGGGUGCAAGCGUUGUCCGGAAUCAUUGGGCGUAAAGAGCGUGUAGGCGGCCCGGUAAGUCCGCUGUGAAAGUCCAGGGCUCAACCCUGGGAUGCCGGUGGAUACUGUCGGGCUCGAGUCCGGAAGAGGAGUGUGGAAUUCCUGGUGUAGCGGUGAAAUGCGCAGAUAUCAGGAGGAACACCAAUUGCGAAGGCAGCUCGCUGGGACGUUACUGACGCUGAGACGCGAAAGCGUGGGGAGCAAACAGG
rnacentral:rRNA from 1 species